rnacentral:lncRNA from 1 species
CUGCUAUUGAAUUUGGUUUAUUGUUUAGAGGAGUUUUCGAAAGUUCACGUUAUUGUGUGCUGACUAUAGUAUUACGUAUGACAAUUUUCAUUGAGAAUACAUCAGUGAUGAAAUAACUCAACACCAGUCAAGUUUUCGAUGACACAGCGAAUAACGUCUUCGACUUGGAAAAUGAACUUGAAGUGGAUCACUGAUGACUAGAGUCCAUGCAGCCGCCUCUGUGAAUUUGGCUACCAUGAGUUACUGUAUAGUGGUGUGCACAGAGAAGAACAAUGGCAUCAAGAUAAUGGUACAGGAGCCCUGCGUGAUUGAAAAGUGUAAAAGAUGUCAAAUAGAGGAGUAGACUAAACUUUGCAGAUUCGUCAAAGACAGCGAAUGGUCAUGCAGCGUAACUUGCGGUGAGGACGUACGUUAGACUUUCCUUGUGAGGAGCAGAAGAUCACGCAAGUCAUUCGCCAGUCAAAAUGAUCGAACGAGUCAUUUAAAAUUGGACUCAAUGGAGAGGCCAUCUGAGACGUAGCCGCGG